rnacentral:rRNA from 1 species
GAUGAACGCUGGCGGCGUGCUUAACACAUGCAGGUCGAACGAAGCAUUUGCGACAGAUUUUUUCGGAAUGAAGUUGCUUAUGACUGAGUGGCGGACGGGUGAGUAACGCGUGGGUAACCUGCCUUGUACUGGGGGAUAGCAGCUGGAAACGGCUGGUAAUACCGCAUAAGCGCACAAUGUUUCAUGACAUGGUGUGAAAAACUCCGGUGGUAUAAGAUGGACCCGCGUCUGAUUAGCUAGUUGGUGAGAUAACAGCCCACCAAGGCGACGAUCAGUAGCCGACCUGAGAGGGUGACCGGCCACAUUGGGACUGAGACACGGCCCAGACUCCUACGGGAGGCAGCAGUGGGGAAUAUUGCACAAUGGAGGAAACUCUGAUGCAGCGACGCCGCGUGAGUGAAGAAGUAAUUCGUUAUGUAAAGCUCUAUCAGCAGGGAAGAUAGUGACGGUACCUGACUAAGAAGCUCCGGCUAAAUACGUG